rnacentral:lncRNA from 1 species
UAGCAUCGCUUUCUUCUGACUCGAGGCCUUCCCUGAGAACCAUCUUGUUUUUCUCCAUAUCUGGUGUGGGUUUUGACCAGAUCUUCCGGUGUUUGUAAAUCUGUGAAUGAUUCUGUCAGAGCAUGUAUACUGAGAAAUCCCACCGGGCGUGCCAAAUUGUUCACCCGUUUUCGUGUUUUACUCCUGAGGUGGAAGGGCGAAGUUCCCCACUGGCUUGGAGACCACUUGUUGGUCGACAAGUCAGCUUUCUUUGGUGUGCGAGCGUGCCACUGCUAGCAAUGUAAAUUCUAGCAGACUUAUUUUUAGAUUGGAUAACUUGCGCCUCAAGUUACUGACUUCUAAAACAAAUGAUUGUGAAUUUGGGUGAGGAAUAUCUCCCAAGUAAGUUCUUUU